UACGAAGGGGGCUAGCGUUGCUCGGAAUCACUGGGCGUAAAGCGCACGUAGGCGGCUUUCUAAGUCAGGGGUGAAAUCCUGGAGCUCAACUCCAGAACUGCCUUUGAUACUGGAGAGCUUGAGUCCGGGAGAGGUGAGUGGAACUCCGAGUGUAGAGGUGAAAUUCGUAGAUAUUCGCAAGAACACCAGUGGCGAAGGCGGCUCACUGGCCCGAUACUGACGCUGAGGCACGAAAGCGUGGGGAGCAAACAGG
rnacentral:rRNA from 1 species